UACGUAGGGUGCGAGCGUUGUCCGGAAUUAUUGGGCGUAAAGAGCUCGUAGGCGGUUUGUCGCGUCUGCCGUGAAAGUCCGGGGCUCAACUCCGGAUCUGCGGUGGGUACGGGCAGACUAGAGUGAUGUAGGGGAGACUGGAAUUCCUGGUGUAGCGGUGAAAUGCGCAGAUAUCAGGAGGAACACCAGUGGCGAAGGCGGCCUUCUGGGCUCUACCUGACGCUGAGACGCGAAAGCGUGGGGAGCGAACCGG
rnacentral:rRNA from 1 species